rnacentral:rRNA from 1 species
CAGGUGGGAUACUUAUCACUUUCGCUUAGCCACUGAAAUUGCUUCCAACAGCUAGUAUCCAUCGUUUACGGCGUGGACUACCAGGGUAUCUAAUCCUGUUCGCUACCCACGCUUUCGUCCAUCAGCGUCAAUCCAUUAGUAGUAACCUGCCUUCGCAAUUGGUAUUCCAUGUAAUCUCUAAGCAUUUCACCGCUACACUACAUAUUCUAGUUACUUCCUAAUAAUUCAAGUUUAACAGUAUCAAUGGCCGUUCCACCGUUGAGCGAUGGGCUUUCACCACUGACUUAUUAAACCGCCUACGGACCCUUUAAACCCAAUGAUUCCGGAUAACGCUUGGAUCCUCCGUAUUACCGCGGCUGCUGGCACGGAGUUAGCCGAUCCUUAUUCUUACGAUACCGUCAAGCUCCUUCACGAAGGAGUGUUUCUUCUCGUAUAAAAGCAGUUUACAAUCCAUAGGACCGUCAUCCUGCACGCGGCAUGGCUGGAUCAGGCUUGCGCCCAUUGUCCAAUAUUCCUCACUGCUGCCUCCCGUAGGAGUCUGGUCCGUGUCUCAGUACCAGUGUGGGGGAUCUCCCUCUCAGGACCCCUACCCAUCGUAGCCUUGGUAAGCCGUUACCUUACCAACUAGCUAAUGGGACGCAUGCUCAUCUUUUACCGUUGUGACUUUAAUAAUAUCUCGAUGCCGAGUCAUUAUACUAUGAGGUAUUAAUCCAAAUUUCUCUGGGCUAUCCCUCUGUAAAAGGUAGAUUGCAUACGCGUUACGCACCCGUGCGCCGGUCUCUAAUUCCGAAGAACUAUACCCCUCGACUGCAU